rnacentral:tRNA from 1 species
GGGUUAAAAAUGGUCAAAAGACAAAAAAUGUAAAAUUCAAAUUCAUUUGUUAUUAUUGUUUCUUAUCACACCUUGGUUGAUCUUACCAAUAAAAUCAGACACCUUCACACGGUAGAAGUCACUGGUUCAAAUCCAGUACCGCCCACCA